GGUAUUGUUUUGUUUGAAAUUGUUACCCUUGGUGGAACACCAUAUCCGACAUUAAGCAAUCGAGAACUUUUAAGUUUUUUAAAGGCUAAUUGUAGAAUGGAUCGGCCAGAAAAUUGUUCUAGUGUAGUGUACGAUAUCAUGCUGAACUGUUGGAAUAAAGAUCCAUUACUGCGGCCAACAUUUACUGAAUUACGCAAUAAAGUUGAACAAAUAAUAUCACAAGGUGGUCGUUAUUUGAGCUUUGAUAUUAACGAAGAAAGUCCUUAUUACAAUGUUCCCUCUUUUAAUAGCGUCGGAUCCGAAACAGGCAUACACUAAGCAUUUUAUUAGAACUGCUAGUCUAUUAAAAUAAUAAAAACUUUAUGUAUAAACGCGAUUUCAUUGUCUCCUUAAAAUAAGAUAGUAAACUCGAAAUAACUUAAGGAACAUAAAUAAUCAAACAAAUCAAAUUGUUUAUUAGUUGAGUAAAUAUAAUUGCUAAGCAUAAUAGUUAAGUGUAAACUAAUGUAUCAAUAACCAAGCACGCACAGACGUCCCUGGGACGUCUAUACGACGUCUUUUGAACGUCACAAGUCCGUUGAAAGUUAUUAAGACGUUCAGCGGACGUUCUGUGCCGCGCAGACUUUUUUUCUGGACAAAUAAUUUUAAAUUUUUUUUUUUUUUCAUUAUUAUUAUAUUAUAUUGUGUUUUGACUAUUUUUUGUAACACUUAAG
rnacentral:lncRNA from 1 species